rnacentral:rRNA from 1 species
AUUGAACGCUGGCGGCAGGCCUAACACAUGCAAGUCGAACGAGUGGCGGACGGGUGAGUAAUGUCUGGGAAACUGCCUGAUGGAGGGGGAUAACUACUGGAAAAGGUAGCUAAUACCGCAUACCAUCAGAUGUGCCCAGAUGGGCUUAGCUAGUUGGUGGGGUAACGGCUCACCAAGGCGACGAUCCAUAGCUGGUCUGAGAGGAUGACAAGCAACACUGGAACUGAGACACGGUCCAGACUCCUACGGGAGGCAGCAGUGGGUAAUAGUGCACAAUGGGCGCAAGCCUGAUGCAGCCAUGACGCGUGUAUGAAGAAGGCUUUCGGUUUGUAAAGUACUUUCAGCGGGGAGGCGGUACCCGCAGAAGACGCACCGGCUAACUACGUGCCAGCCGCAGCGGUAAUAC